UACCAGCACUAAUGCACCGGAUCC
rnacentral:snRNA from 1 species